rnacentral:rRNA from 1 species
GGAGUUAUCCGGUGCUUCUUCUGCGAGUAACGUCACAGAUGUAAGGUAUUAACUUACACCCUUUCCUCCUCGCUGAAAGUGCUUUACAACCCGAAGGCCUUCUUCACACACGCGGCAUGGCUGCAUCAGGGUUUCCCCCAUUGUGCAAUAUUCCCCACUGCUGCCUCCCGUAGGAGUCUGGGCCGUGUCUCAGUCCCAGUGUGGCUGAUCAUCCUCUCAGACCAGCUAGGGAUCGUCGCCUAGGUGAGCCUUUACCUCACCUACUAGCUAAUCCCACCUGGGCUUAUCCAUCAGCGCAAGGCCCGAAGGUCCCCUGCUUUCCCCCGUAGGGCGUAUGCGGUAUUAGCAGUCGUUUCCAACUGUUAUCCCCCACAAAUGGGCAAAUUCCCAGGCAUUACUCACCCGUCCGCCGCUCGUCAUCUUCAAAAGCAAGCUUUUGAAAUGUUACCGCUCGACUUGCAUGUGUUAGGCCUGCCGCCAGCGUUCAAUCUGAGCCAGAUCAAACUCUGA